AGCUGCGCGGUGAACACAGAGUGAACUAUUCUUUCACCUCUUACUAAAGAAUACCGUGUCUUUGCCACAUUAAGCAGCAUACGCCUAUUUUUGGAGGAUUUACCAUUGACGCC